CCUACGGGUGGCAGCAGUGAGGAAUAUUGGUCAAUGGACGCAAGUCUGAACCAGCCAUGCCGCGUGCAGGAAGACGGCCCUAUGAGUUGUAAACUGCUUUUGUACGAGGGUAAACGCAGAUACGCGUAUCUGUCUGAAAGUAUCGUACGAAUAAGGAUCGGCUAACUCCGUGCCAGCAGCCGCGGUAAUACGGAGGAUUCAAGCGUUAUCCGGAUUUAUUGGGUUUAAAGGGUGCGUAGGCGGUCGGAUAAGUUAGAGGUGAAAUCCCGAGGCUCAACUUCGGACUUGCCUCUGAUACUGUUCGGCUAGAGAGUAGUUGCGGUACGCGGAAUGUAUGGUGUAGCGGUGAAAUGCUUAGAGAUCAUACAGAACACCGAUUGCGAAGGCAGCUUACCAAGCUACUUCUGACGUUGAGGCACGAAAGCGUGGGGAGCGAACAGGAUUAGAUACCCCUGUAGUC
rnacentral:rRNA from 1 species